AUGGCAGUGCUGCUGGAGACCACAAUGGGUGACCUGGUCAUUGACCUGUACACAGAGGAGCGGCCCCGUGCUUGUCUGAAUUUCCUGAAGCUCUGCAAAGUCAAGUACUACAACUAUUGUCUUAUUUAUAAUGUACAGCGGGAUUUUAUUAUACAAACUGGCGACCCCAUGGGAACUGGCCAUGGAGGGGAAUCUAUAUUUUGUCAACUGUAUGGUGAUCAAGCCAGAUUUUUUGAGGCAGAAAAGGUGCCCAGAAUCAAACACAAGAAGAAAGGAACUGUGUCGAUGGUGAACAAUGGCAGUGAUCAGCAUGGAUCACAGUUUCUCAUUACCACAGGGGAAAACCUGGAUUACCUUGAUAGUGUACAUACAGUAUUUGGAGAAGUGACAGAAGGCAUGGAUGUAUUAAAGAAAAUUAAUGAAACCUUUGUAGAUAAGGAUUUUAUCCCAUAUCAAGAUAUCAGGAUAAAUCAUACAGUAAUUUUAGAUGAUCCCUUUGAUGAUCCACCUGGCUUGUGUGUUCCUGAUCGCUCACCAGAACCUACAAAGGAACAGCUUGACAGUGGCAGAAUAGGGGCAGAUGAAGAAAUUGAUGACAUGAGAGGAUGGUCUGCAGAUGAAAUAGAAGAAGUUCAGGCCGAAAAAGAAGCAAAAAGUCAUGCUAUUCUUCUGGAAAUGGUGGGAGACUUACCAGAUGCAGACAUAAAGCCACCAGAAAAUGUGUUGUUUGUUUGUAAGCUGAAUCCUGUGACCACAGGCGAAGACCUGGAGAUAAUAUUUUCACGAUUUGGUCCCAUUAAAAGUUGCGAAGUGAUCCGAGACUGGAAGACCGGUGAAUCUCUUUGUUAUGCUUUCAUUGAGUUUGAAAAGGAGGAAGACUGUGAGAAAGCCUACUUCAAAAUGGACAAUGUGCUGAUAGAUGACAGACGGAUACAUGUGGAUUUUAGCCAGUCUGUUGCAAAGAUUAAAUGGAAGGGAAAAGGUGGGCGGUAUACCAAGGAAGAAUUCAAGGACUAUGAGAAGGAAGGUGACAAAACUUUGAAAUUUGCUCUGAAAGAAAAAGUAAAAUCAAAGCAAGAUGGCAAGUAUGACCUUGUGCUGGAUGAGGAUGUAGAGAAGUCACACUUGGCCAAAAGACAGAAGAAAAAGCACUACCACUGUGAAGAAGAUGACAAGAGGACCAAAAAAUCUAAGGAUUCUGACCGAAAGCACGAAGAAUGCUGUAGGAAGAGGACAAGGGAUGUGAAGAAAGACAGGCAUCGAAACCGUAGCCAUUCUCAGGAGAGAGAUUACACUUACAAGUCUCUCUGGAGAGAGGGGGAGACGGUGGCAGUCUGUCAGCAGUGCACCGCGGGGAAGGAGAAGAGCGAGGAGGCAAAGGAAAGUGCCCAGCAUAGGAGCCAGAGGUCUGGGCAGAGAGUCCGACUGUCCGUCUGGGGAAUUUAG